rnacentral:rRNA from 1 species
UUAGGAAUCUUGCGCAAUGGACGAAAGUCUGACGCAGCGACGCCGCGUGCGGGAUGAAGGCCCUCGGGUUGUAAACCGCUUUCAGCAGGGACGAAAAUGACGGUACCUGCAGAAGAAGCCCCGGCCAACUACGUGCCAGCAGCCGCGGUAAUACGUAGGGGGCGAGCGUUGUCCGGAUUUAUUGGGCGUAAAGAGCUCGUAGGUGGUUUGGUAAGUCGGAUGUGAAAUCUCCAGGCUCAACCUGGAGGGGUCAUUCGAUACUGCCAUGACUAGAGUUCGGUAGGGGAGUGUGGAAUUCCUGGUGGAGCGGUGAAAUGCGCAGAUAUCAGGAGGAACACCCGUAGCGAAGGCGGCACUCUGGGCCGAUACUGACACUGAGGAGCGAAAGCGUGGGGAGCGAACA